AUACAGAGGGUGCGAGCGUUAAUCGGAAUUACUGGGCGUAAAGCGCGCGUAGGCGGCUUAUUAAGUCAGAUGUGAAAUCCCCGGGCUCAACCUGGGAACUGCAUCUGAUACUGGUAAGCUAGAGUUUUUGAGAGGGUAGUAGAAUUUCAGGUGUAGCGGUGAAAUGCAUAGAGAUCGGAAGGAAUACCAGUGGCGAAGGCGACUUCCUGGCCAAAAACUGACGCUGAGGUGCGAAAGCGUGGGUAGCAAACGGGAUUAGAAACCCUAGUAGUCC
rnacentral:rRNA from 1 species